rnacentral:rRNA from 1 species
UACGUAGGGUGCGAGCGUUAAUCGGAAUUACUGGGCGUAAAGCGUGCGCAGGCGGUGAUGUAAGACAGGUGUGAAAUCCCCGGGCUUAACCUGGGAACUGCGCUUGUUACUGGCAGACUUGAGUGUGGCAGAGGGGGGUGGAAUUCCAGGUGUAGCAGUGAAAUGCGUAGAUAUCUGGAGGAACACCGAUGGCGAAGGCAGCCCCCUGGGCUAACACUGACGCUGAUGCACGAAAGCGUGGGGAGCAAACAGG